rnacentral:rRNA from 1 species
CCUACGGGGGGCUGCAGUGGGGAAUAUUGCACAAUGGGCGCAAGCCUGAUGCAGCGACGCCGCGUGAGCGAUGAAGGCCUUCGGGUCGUAAAGCUCAGUCCUAAGGGAAGAAUAAUGACGGUACCUUAGGAGGAAGCACCGGCUAACUACGUGCCAAAAGACGCGGUAAUACGUAGGGGGCGAGGGUUAUCCGGAAUCAAGGGGCGGAAAGGGUGCGUAGGCGGCAGUGAAAGUCAGGAGUUAAAUCCCUCGGCUCAACAGAGGUCCGAUUUUGAAACUGUAGGGAUUGAGGGCAGGAGUGGAGGUCAGAAUUCCUGGUGUAGCGGGGAAAUAUGUAGAUAUUAGGAGGAACACCAGUGGCGAAGGCGGCUCACUGGACUGCAACUUACGCUGAGGCACGAAAGCGGGGGGAGCGAACAGUAUUAGAUACCCUAGUAAUC